rnacentral:rRNA from 1 species
UACGUAGGGAGCAAGCGUUGUCCGGAAUCAUUGGGCGUAAAGCGCGCGUAGGCGGCCCGAUAAGUCCGCUGUGGAAAGUCAACGGCUCAACUGUUGGAUGCCGGUGGAUACUGUCGGGCUAGAGUACGGAAGAGGCAAGUGGAAUUCCAGGUGUAGCGGUGAAAUGCGUAGGAUAUCUGGAGGAACAUCGGUGGCGAAGGCGGCGAUCCUGGACCGGUAUUGACGC